GCUCAGUCCUAAACCUAAGUAGUUUUACAACAAUGCUACUCGCCAGAGUACUACUAGCAAUAGCUUAAAACUCAAAGGACUUGGCGGUGCUUUAUAUCCCUCUAGAGGAGCCUGUUCUGUAAUCGAUAAACCCCGAUAAACCUCACCAGCCCUUGCUAAUACAGCCUAUAUACCGCCAUCUUCAGCGAACCCUAAAAAGGAAUCACAGUAAGCCAAACCAUACAACAUAAAAACGUUAGGUCAAGGUGUAGCCCAUGAGCUGGGAAGAAAUGGGCUACAUUUUCUAGCAUAGAACAUAACGAAACUUUUCGUGAAACCGAAAACGGAAGGAGGAUUUAGUAGUAAAUUAAGAAUAGAGAGCUUAAUUGAAUAAGGCCAUGAAGCAC
rnacentral:rRNA from 1 species